GGAAAAAGGUGUAAAAAUUAGGUUUCAUGAUGAACUUGUAUAAGUUGCUGCACUCCUCCUGCAUCACCAUAAACUCCGUGUGGAUUCGUUCAUGGAUUAUUAAUUCAGGGUGUAAUCCCGCCUGACCCAAAUCUGGGCAGGAACUGGGAUCUUUUGGUGCUCCAGCGUGACGACAAGAUAUAAAAUUAAAUGUAGACAGGAGCUGUAGACACAAGGGGUGUCAGCUGUGGGAAAAGCACAGUGGUGGCUCCAUGCAAGGGUGGAAUAAAUCAGCUGGGAGCCCUCCUCCAGACCCCCCAGCUACAGAUUGGGUACUGGUUGUGCCUGGCCCCAGCGUGUGCCAGGGCUGGGGGUGACCCUCCUGAAAACCUGCUGGAGGAUGAAGAUGUUGGACCUUGUGACGUGCAGGAGAUGGGCUGAGGGCUUUUGGAAGAGGGCAGGAUUGCCCCCAGGUCGCCGUGGGCCCGGGCUAUGGGGGGUGCAGGGGGAGCGGUGGCCUGUAAUGGGAUGUACUGGUCAUACUGGUGCCAUCACUUGUGUGUACUGCCCUCCUUGUGCAUGGCUUGCACCCCGUGAAUCAAACCCAUGGAGAGCCCAUCCAGGCGCUGCUCCGGGGAGCGUGUCUGGAGGAGGGAGGAGGAAGAGGAGGGCGCCCUUCCUCCUGCCCACCCGCUGUGUCUCUUUUGCAGGCUCUCCAGGUGGCACGCCAGUUCCUGCUGCAGCAAGCCACGGGGCUGAGCUCCCCCAGCAGCAACGAGGGCAAGCAGCCAGCGGUGCAGGUCCCCGUGUCCGUGGCCAUGAUGUCCCCGCAGAUGAUCACGCCGCAGCAGAUGCAGCAGAUCCUCUCGCCGCCCCAGCUCCAGGCCCUCCUGCAGCAGCAGCAGGCGAUAAUGCUGCAGCAGUUGCAGGAAUACUACAAGAAGCAACAGGAGCAGCUUCACCUGCAGCUAUUGACACAGCAGCAAGCCGGAAAGCAGCAACCCAAAGAGCCGUUAGGGAACAAGCAGCUGGCCUUCCAGCAGCAGCUCCUGCAGAUGCAGCAGCUCCAGCAGCAGCACCUGUUAAACCUGCAGCGCCAGGGGCUGGUCAGCCUCCCCCCGGGACAGGGCACCGUCCCCCUCCAGACCCUGCCCCAAGCUGUGUGCCCCUCGGACCUCCAGCAGCUCUGGAAGGAGGUCACGGCCACCCAGCCCGUUGA
rnacentral:lncRNA from 1 species